GGUGGUGUGGUGUAAUGGUAGCACGUGACGUUGUGGUUCUUCCUCUCAUCGGGAAAAUUACACUGAUCCGUUUCAAUCUGGGUUCGAUUCCCAGCACCGCCA